rnacentral:rRNA from 1 species
GACGAACGCUGGCGGCGUGCUUAACACAUGCAAGUCGAACGAAGAGCGAUGGAAGCUUGCUUCUAUCACUCUUAGUGGCGAACGGGUGAGUAACGCGUAAUCAACCUGCCCUUCAGAGGGGGACAACAGUUGGAAACGACUGCUAAUACCGCAUACGAUCUAAUCUCGGCAUCGAGGAUAGAUGAAAGGUGGCCUCUACAUGUAAGCUAUCACUGAAGGAGGGGAUUGCGUCUGAUUAGCUAGUUGGAGGGGUAACGGCCCACCAAGGCGAUGAUCAGUAGCCGGUCUGAGAGGAUGAACGGCCACAUUGGGACUGAGACACGGCCCAGACUCCUACGGGAGGCAGCAGUGGGGAAUCUUCCGCAAUGGACGAAAGUCUGACGGAGCAACGCCGCGUGAGGGAUGACGGCCUUCGGGUUGUAAAGCUCUGUUAAUCGGGACGAAAGGCCUUCUUGCGAACAGUUAGAAGGAUUGACGGUACCGGAAUAGAAAGCCACGGCUAACUACGUG